CUUCAUCUUCUUCCUUCUUUGUUACUUUUUCUUUCUUUCUUGUGCUUCCUGAGCACGCAGACAUGAACAGAGAGAGAAUGGAGACAAAGAGAUGAGAAGAGAGAGAGAGAGAUGCCGAAAGUCAAAGAGAGACCGAGAGAUUGGGAGAGAGGAAGUUAGAGGGGGAAGAGAACCGGCGAGCCGUGACCCAGGGGAGGCCGAUCCUCCAUGGACCGACGCCGGCGACGCGACUUCCGGCCGAUUCUACCGGUGGGUCGACGAUCAAUGGAGCCUGGACCCGCGACCCGUGAGCCAAACCCGACAAACCGGGAGAUGCUUCAACUGUGAGACCCGAUCCUUCCGGAGGUCCGAUCCUCCAUGUCCGGAGGCCAGAAGCCGAUUUCCGACGAGCCUGGUGUUUUACGGCCGAACCACGAAGACCCAAAAACCGGAACUUCUCGAACCCGUGCAACCCGUGACCCAUGUGUGUGUGUAACCCAGCCAAACCGUAACCCGAAAAACCCAGAACUCGGUUCUCCAUGGCGUCUUCCGGCGACUUUUCCAGCGAUUCCAGCUCACCGAUUUCCGGUGGAUUUUCUGUACAAUCCUUGAUGUAAAAGCUCAACCCCGUUGCUAAUGGAAAAUCCAGUUUUACCCCACGGCUGCAUCGUGUUUUGAUCCGGAUCCAUUUGGGUAGCGUGGCAACCACAUCAGAAGUGUGGGCUAUCGGUCGGGAGGGCUUCACCUAGGAAAGUUCAUAAUCCGUCGGCUCUUCUCUGUGACGACAGGCUGAGCCUAUUAAGUCCUUCGGGAUCGGUCCUUUUGGACGUGCCAAACGUGCGCCGCACAUGGUUAAAUUGCGGAGGUGGGCCGGUGGAAGAUAACACAGUAAGACGGAGUUAUUUCUUUAUAAUGGCGUAGACCUCGCUAAAAGCAAUAGUUCAUUGUGGAUCGACAAAACCUUUACUUUGUAUAGUAUGUCUCUUAUUGAGAUUCAUGGCGUUGUAAAGAUUUAUUAUUAGACAGGAAUAAUAUAAUAAAAAGUUACAAUCUAUAUGUUUUAAAUGUAUGCUUACUUUUAAAUGGUUUUAGCACUCAAACUCACGUUUUCCCUUAUAUCCCAAAAUGAGGGCGUGACAGAAUAUAUAUAUAUAAAGCAAUGUUAUAGCACCA